GGUGCUGUGGCUUAGUUGGUCUAAGUGUCUGUCUCGCAAUCAGGAGCUCCUGGGUUCGAAUCCCAGCAGUGCCU